AGUGAACGCUGGCGGUAGGCCUAACACAUGCAAGUCGAACGGCAGCACAGUAAGAGCUUGCUCUUACGGGUGGCGAGUGGCGGACGGGUGAGGAAUACAUCGGAAUCUACUUUUUCGUGGGGGAUAACGUAGGGAAACUUACGCUAAUACCGCAUACGACCUACGGGUGAAAGCAGGGGAUCUUCGGACCUUGCGCGAUUGAAUGAGCCGAUGUCGGAUUAGCUAGUUGGCGGGGUAAAGGCCCACCAAGGCGACGAUCCGUAGCUGGUCUGAGAGGAUGGUCAGCCACACUGGAGCUGAGACACGGUCAAGACGCCUACGGGAGGCAGCAGUGGGGAAUAUUGGACAAUGGGCGCAAGCCUGAUCCAGCCAUACCGCGUGGGUGAAGAAGGCCUUCGGGUUGUAAAGCCCUUUUGUUGGGAAAGAAAAGCAGCAGGUUAAUACCCCGCUGUUCUGACGGUACCCAAAGAAUAAGCACCGGCUAACUUCGU
rnacentral:rRNA from 1 species